UGCUUCGGCACCCUUUCCUCCUCCAACCACAGCAAACUCGACUGUCUCGCCAUCCCCUUCACUGCGCAGGCAUUUCUGUGGAUUUGUCUUCCUGGUGGCCGUCUGAUGUACAAAUACAUCCAUUCCGAUUCAUAAAUCCAUAUCCAUUUCUGACAUCGAACCACUUCACAGUGCCAAGGACGUUGGUGGCUAGAACUUUCUCUGGAGUUUUCACUGCCGGCGGGGGCGGCGUCCCCGCCCAGGUUCCCGGACGCCAGGGCCAGGGCUGCGCCGCCGACCGCCAGGCUCUGGGGCGCGGGAAUCUAUCUUUUUAGCUUUUGCUACUUGAGGAUUUUCUCGUUGCCACUUCCUGGCAUAGCAGAAAAUAAAGCAGGUGGUACCUACCAGAGAACAGAAAGACUAGGCGAGGCCUGGGGAAGAACGCUCCUCACAACCACAGGGGGAAGCAGCAUUUGAAAGAGACCACCUGGUUCCAGAGCACAGUUCUAUGUUGGAAAGAUUGGAUCGUUAAUUCUUGGCCAAGAAGAAGUGUUAAUGACAUUGGAAGAAGAUACUAUAAUUUGGAUGCAUGACUGCUAAACUGAUCAUCAUUAAUGAGAAGUAUCAAAGUAAGGCUAAAAGAAAAGGGCUUUAUCCAAGUGACCUUUGAGGAAAUUCAAAUGCUGCCUUUGGAUGGAGAAAUCCUUAUUAUUUCUGCAGUUUCUGCUUUUUCUGCUGCAGAGAGCUUCUCAGACUCUCUCUUGGGUGCCUCCUCUGAACUCUACAGAUGUUCCCUGGUUCAGACAUCUGCAUGUUGCUGGGUUGCUUUGCUUUGUGGCAUCUCUAAUGUCUGUUUUGAAAAGGUUGAAAAGGAGAAGAAUCACAAACACCCUACAAGUUGAAAAUAUCAUCUGUUUUCUAAACUGUAUAUAGCUGAGCUUUUCCUGACCUCUAGGUGAAGCAAUGUCUCCGACUUUUGUAGUUGGUGAUUUCCAGCUUUCUGAAUACACUGGACUGGUGUGUAACCCAGACUCCUUUCCCUGUGUGAGCAUUGGGAUCAGUCUCUAGCUGUGAAAAGUUGAAUCUGGUUCAGUAUUUCUGUGAGCUCUUGUGAUUUUAUAGCUUCUACUCAUGGUUGCCCUUUAAAUCCUCUCUUAGUUUAUAGCCCUGACAUCUCCCUUCUAUUCUUUGACUAUAGCUAUUUAAAUUGUAUUGUGAGAGAAUAAAUCAUCUCCCAGCUAGCUGAGGCCUGGUAGCCUGAUAGGGCUUGUCAUUGAUAUCAGUGAUUUAGAAAGAGGAGUCCCAAGAAUUUGAAUUUGGUGGGACAUUUAUUACAUAUCAUCCACAUACUUCUUUCAAUUAAGUUUUAUUGCCUUUUCUAUAAGAGAGAAAAUGUGCUAGGCAAUCAUUGGUGGCUCAUACUUAUAAUCCUAACUACUCAGGAAACUGAGAUCUGAGGACUGUGAU